rnacentral:lncRNA from 1 species
AAAUGUCAGAGAUAAAACUGGAAACCAGGAAGAAGAAAGGAAAAAAAGAAGAAAGGAAGGAGGAGAGAGAAGGAAGAAGGGCGGAACGCAUAGAGAAAAGGGGAAAGGAAUGAAGAAAGGAAGAGGAGAACUAAAGAAAGAGCAAAAUUAACUCAGAAGACGGAAUUAAUGGUUAAAUCAGUGGUGGUCAUACUAUCGACCAAACCCUGCCUAGCCACCUGAUUUUGUAUGUAAAGUCUUAUUGCAACACAGUGGUGCCUAUUCAUUUGCAUAUGGCCCAUGGCUGCUUUUGCAUGGAGUGGUUAUCACAAAGACUGUACGACCCACAAAGCUUAAAUAAAAUAUUUACUAUCUGGCCUUUACAGAAAAUGUUUGCAGAUGCUUGGACUCAAUGAUUGAUGGUUCCUUAGAAGAUAGGUC